AUUGAACGCUGGCGGCAGGCCUAACACAUGCAAGUCGAACGAGUGGCGGACGGGUGAGUAAUGUCUGGGAAACUGCCUGCUGGAGGGGGAUAACUACUGGAAACGGUCGCUAAUACCGCAUACCAUCGGAUUUGCCCAGAUGGGAUUAGCGAGUAGGUGGGGUAAAGGCUCACCUCGGCGACGAUCCCUAGCUGGUCUGAGAGGAUGAACAGCCACACUGGAACUGAGACACGGGCCAGACUCCGACGGGAGGCAGCAGGGGGGAAUAUGGCACAAUGAGCGCAAGCCUGAUGCAGCCAUGCCGCGGGUAUGAAGAAGGCCUUCGGGUUGUAAAGUACUUUCAGCUGGGAGGCGUUACCCGCAGAAGAAGCACCGGCUAACUCCGUGCCAGCAGCCGCGGGAAUUC
rnacentral:rRNA from 1 species